rnacentral:rRNA from 1 species
GUCCACGCCGUAAACGUUGGGCACUAGGUGUGGGUCUCAACCAACGAGAUCCGCGCCGUCGCUAACGCAUUAAGUGCCCCGCCUGGGGAGUACGGCCGCAAGGUUAAAACUCAAAGGAAUUGACGGGGGCCCGCACAAGCAGCGGAGCGUGUUGCUUAAUUCGAUGCAACGCGAAGAACCUUACCUGGGCUUGACAUGUACGGAAAAGCCGUAGAGAUACGGUGUCCUUAGGGGCCGUACACAGGUGGUGCAUGGCUGUCGU